UUCUCAACUGACUGAGCCACCCAGGCGCCCCCCCCAAACAAUGGGGCUUAGAGAGAUUCCACGUUGGUGACUAUAUCCACAUGCCAGGAGGUAUGACAGUACUCAUGAUAGCCAAAAGUGGUACCUACCAAACAGAUCUCACCAAAAGGAACAGAAGUCUGCUCUGUUGUUUCAGUUCUAGCUGCUAGCCUGCCAAGUCGGUGCUUUAUCUUUCCGUUAUGAUGAAAUUUACCACAAAUCACCCCAAACAACAAUGUUCUCCCCCAGUUCUUGCUUAUAUAAAUGUCGGUUGUCAUGACAACAAGAAGACUGCCCUUGAUCAUAUGGCAGAGCUUGCUAAGAA